rnacentral:rRNA from 1 species
UGGGGAAUUUUGGACAAUGGGCGAAAGCCUGAUCCAGCAAUGCCGCGUGUGUGAAGAAGGCCUUCGGGUUGUAAAGCACUUUUGUCCGGAAAGAAAUCCUUGGCUCUAAUACAGUCGGGGGAUGACGGUACCGGAAGAAUAAGCACCGGCUAACUACGUGCCAGCAGCCGCGGUAAUACGUAGGGUGCAAGCGUUAAUCGGAAUUACUGGGCGUAAAGCGUGCGCAGGCGGUUUGCUAAGACCGAUGUGAAAUCCCCGGGCUCAACCUGGGAACUGCAUUGGCGACUGGCAGGCUAGAGUAUGGCAGAGGGGGGUAGAAUUCCACGUGUAGCAGUGAAAUGCGUAGAGAUGUGGAGGAAUACCGAUGGCGAAGGCAGCCCCCUGGGCCAAUACUGACGCUCAUGCACGAAAGCGUGGGGAGCAAAACAGGAUUAGAUACCCUGGUAGUCCACGCCCUAAACGAUGUCAACUAGUUGUUGGGGAUUCAUUUCCUUAGUAACGUAGCUAACGCGUGAAGUUGACCGCCUGGGGAGUACGGUCGCAAGAUUAAAACUUAAAUGAAUUGACGGGGU